UAAUUAUCUAUAUAUCCUCGUACGUUUGAAAAUAGAUUUACUUUUUUUUUUUCUUUCUAAAAUACCCCUCAUAUAUUCCACCGUUAUUAUAAAAUACCUCCGCAGUUAUCUCCUGUUAAGUUAACUUGGGUUAAACAUGAGUUAAAUAUCUACCAUAGUUAAAAAAAAUUAAAAUACCAAUUUUAUCCUUAACUUAAGUGCAAAUAAGAAAUAUUGGUGACAGUAGAGGGGUAUAUUGAAAAAGACCAAAAGUCAAAAUAUUUUUUGUGUCCUCGACUUUAGGGGCAAAUAAGAAAGUCAGUGAUAAUGGAAGAGUAUAUUUGAAAGAAAAAAUAGUAAUUUUAUAAAAAUAACAGAGUUCAUUAAUAAAUUUUAACAUUAGGAGUAUAUUAGAAAUAGGUUGAAACGUAGAAAGGAUAUUUUCAAUAUUAGCCUUCUAAGAGGGAUAAAUCGAAAAGUCCGAGAACUUUUCACUGAUAUAUAAGCAAUUGCCCCGUUUUCAAUUAUGGUGGGUCAUAUGGUUGAAAGGCUGAGGCUUCGUUUGGAAUAGUUUGGAAUUGUGGAGGCUGAGGCUUCAUUUGUAAUUGUGGAGAGAUUACAUUACAUGCGAUGAGCAAGUAUGAUUGAAAAAUGCCUUGUUCGUUUCCGUACGUAAUAUUGCGUUUCGCAUAUCGCAAUGAGUUGGUUACGAUAUAUUUUUCACAGUACCACCGGAGAAUGCAGAAGCAUUUCUCUAUAUGCUUUUAUACCAACUCUAUUUUAUUUAAUAGUGUGAGAUAGGCCUCAAUAUCAAACUAUGCUUGAAUCAAUUGUUCUUGAAAGCUAGGAAUCAUUAAGAUUUCAAAAGUUUCUUAUCGAAUAACUGUGAUCUAUUUGAAAUAAUUGUUGGGAUUCUAGUAGCGAUACCAUAUUUCGAGAAUCCGUAAUCUGUUUUGAUACCGAUUGGCGAUUGCUGUUGAUUUGGUACUCGUUUCGAUACCGGGUGUGGGGAUUCUGUAACCAAAGCAUCGAAUCAAAUUUUUAUCAUAAAAGCUAUCGAUGCCACAAUUACGAAAAAAAAAAAAAGAUUCACUAACCAAAAAAAGAAUUAGACCUAGGGAUGUCAAUAGGUAUGGAUACCCAAAAUUUUAUCGGAAUUCGAACCCGAACGAAGCGAAUUUAUCCUAUGCUAAACGAUUACGAUUUUGGAUAUGGAUAUGAAAAAUAAAAAUCCAAUGAAUAUAAAUUCGAAUAUGAAUUUUGACUGUACUUGACUCGAACCCCAACCCGACCGGAUUUGAAUUUAUUUUAUAUUAUAUAUCAUAUGUAUAUAAAAAUUUAAUGUUAUAUUUGAAUUUGUAUUUUAAAAAUUUAAAUUUAAUGUAAUAUAUUUUGAAAUAUUGAAAAGAGAAAUAAUUGUUUCGAGUUAGAAUUUUUGGGUUCAGUUUCGGGUUUCGAUCUGGAUUUUUAAAAUUCGUCGGGUUCAGGUUUAGGAUUCAAGAUUGGAAUCGGGUUUGGAUUCGGGUUUUUGAAAAUCCGUCCUAAAUCCGAUCCAUUGACAUCCUUAGUUAGACCCGACUCCUCUUCUGUGUAGAGUAGUUUCAAUCCGAACUCUAUAACCCCUCUCUCCUCUUUCACAAAUUCAGAAAUCUCUCUUAACGUAUGAGCGUAGUAGAUGCAUUAAAUUCGACCUA
rnacentral:lncRNA from 1 species